GCUCCCUGCAGACCAGAGGAGGCUGGUGAAGGAUAAGCUGUUUCCUCAGGCCAUCGAUUACCUGCAGAAGGUGUUCAGCGUCCGGAGGCGUGUCGGCCCGGUUCUGCUCAGCAGACAAUGCUCCACCAAUCAGUACCUGAGGAAGAGAGAUGACCCUCACAGGUACUGCCAGGACGCCUGCGCUGACCUGACCCGCUGUGGCCCCGUCAGCGUGCCACAGCACCACCUGCAGCAAUGCAAGGUGUGCAGUGAGUCGGGGAAGUCGUGCGGUCCCAUCGGGCCUCCGGACGGUCCCGGGGUCGAGGGGUCGGACUUCGUUCUGUACGUCAGCGGCGUCACAACGGAGCGCUGCGGGCAGGAGAACAUCGUGGCCUACGCUGCAUACUGCCAGCUGGAGGCAGAGCUC